GACGAACGCUGGCGGCGUGCUUAACACAUGCAAGUCGAACGGAAAGGCCCUGCUUUUGUGGGGUUCUCGAUUGGCGAACGGGUGAGUAACACGUGAGUAACCUGCCCUUGACUUUGGGGUAACUUCAGGAAACUGGGGCUAAUACCGGAUAGGAGCUCCUGCUGCAUGUUGGUGGUUGGAGAGUUUCGGCGGUUGGGGAUGGACUCGCGGCUUAUCAGCUGGUUGGUGUGGUAGUGGCGUACCAAGGCUUUGACGGGUAGCCGGCCUGAGAGGGUGACCGGCAACAUUGGGACUGCGAUACGGCCCAGUAGGCUACGGGAGGCAGCAGUGGGGAAUAUUGCACAAUGGGCGGACGUCUGAUGCAGCAACGCCGCGUGCGGGAUGACGGCUUUCGGGUUGUAAACCGCUUUCGCCUGUGACGAAGCGUGAGUGACGGUAAUGGGUAAAGAAGCACCGGCUAACUACGUG
rnacentral:rRNA from 1 species